rnacentral:rRNA from 1 species
AGAUCACAUGAUUUCUUUUUGAAAGGCGGCGUAAGCUGUCGCUAAAGGAUGGACCCGCGGUGCAUUAGCUAGUUGGUAAGGUAACGGCUUACCAAGGCAACGAUGCAUAGCCGAGUUGAGAGACUGAUCGGCCACAUUGGGACUGAGACACGGCCCAAACUCCUACGGGAGGCAGCAGUAGGGAAUCUUCCACAGUGGACGCAAGUCUGAUGGAGCAACGCCGCGUGAGUGAAGAAGGUUUUCGGAUCGUAAAGCUCUGUUGUUGGUGAAGAAAGAUAGUGAGAGUAACUGCUCAUUAUUUGCCGGUAAUCAACCAGAAAGUCACGGCUAACUACGUG